rnacentral:rRNA from 1 species
GGUUAAGCGACUAAGCGUACACGGUGGAUGCCCUGGCAGUCAGAGGCGAUGAAGGACGUGCUAAUCUGCGAUAAGCGUCGGUAAGGUGAUAUGAACCGUUAUAACCGGCGAUUUCCGAAUGGGGAAACCCAGUGUGUUUCGACACACUAUCAUUAACUGAAUCCAUAGGUUAAUGAGGCGAACCGGGGGAACUGAAACAUCUAAGUACCCCGAGGAAAAGAAAUCAACCGAGAUUCCCCCAGUAGCGGCGAGCGAACGGGGAGCAGCCCAGAGCCUGAAUCAGUGUGUGUGUUAGUGGAAGCGUCUGGAAAGGCGCGCGAUACAGGGUGACAGCCCCGUACACAAAAAUGCACAUAUUGUGAGCUCGAUGAGUAGGGCGGGACACGUGGUAUCCUGUCUGAAUAUGGGGGGACCAUCCUCCAAGGCUAAAUACUCCUGACUGACCGAUAGUGAACCAGUACCGUGAGGGAAAGGCGAAAAGAACCCCGGCGAGGGGAGUGAAAAAGAACCUGAAACCGUGUACGUACAAGCAGUGGGAGCACAGAGCAAUCUGUGUGACUGCGUACCUUUUGUAUAAUGGGUCAGCGACUUAUAUUCUGUAGCAAGGUUAACCGAAUAGGGGAGCCGAAGGGAAACCGAGUCUUAACUGGGCGUUAAGUUGCAGGGUAUAGACCCGAAACCCGGUGAUCUAGCCAUGGGCAGGUUGAAGGUUGGGUAACACUAACUGGAGGACCGAACCGACUAAUGUUGAAAAAUUAGCGGAUGACUUGUGGCUGGGGGUGAAAGGCCAAUCAAACCGGGAGAUAGCUGGUUCUCCCCGAAAGCUAUUUAGGUAGCGCCUCGUGAAUUCAUCUCCGGGGGUAGAGCACUGUUUCGGCAAGGGGGUCAUCCCGACUUACCAACCCGAUGCAAACUGCGAAUACCGGAGAAUGUUAUCACGGGAGACACACGGCGGGUGCUAACGUCCGUCGUGAAGAGGGAAACAACCCAGACCGCCAGCUAAGGUCCCAAAGUCAUGGUUAAGUGGGAAACGAUGUGGGAAGGCCCAGACAGCCAGGAUGUUGGCUUAGAAGCAGCCAUCAUUUAAAGAAAGCGUAAUAGCUCACUGGUCGAGUCGGCCUGCGCGGAAGAUGUAACGGGGCUAAACCAUGCACCGAAGCUGCGGCAGCGACGCUUAUGCGUUGUUGGGUAGGGGAGCGUUCUGUAAGCCUGUGAAGGUGUGCUGUGAGGCAUGCUGGAGGUAUCAGAAGUGCGAAUGCUGACAUAAGUAACGAUAAAGCGGGUGAAAAGCCCGCUCGCCGGAAGACCAAGGGUUCCUGUCCAACGUUAAUCGGGGCAGGGUGAGUCGACCCCUAAGGCGAGGCCGAAAGGCGUAGUCGAUGGGAAACAGGUUAAUAUUCCUGUACUUGGUGUUACUGCGAAGGGGGGACGGAGAAGGCUAUGUUGGCCGGGCGACGGUUGUCCCGGUUUAAGCGUGUAGGCUGGUUUUCCAGGCAAAUCCGGAAAAUCAAGGCUGAGGCGUGAUGACGAGGCACUACGGUGCUGAAGCAACAAAUGCCCUGCUUCCAGGAAAAGCCUCUAAGCAUCAGGUAACAUCAAAUCGUACCCCAAACCGACACAGGUGGUCAGGUAGAGAAUACCAAGGCGCUUGAGAGAACUCGGGUGAAGGAACUAGGCAAAAUGGUGCCGUAACUUCGGGAGAAGGCACGCUGAUAUGUAGGUGAAGUCCCUCGCGGAUGGAGCUGAAAUCAGUCGAAGAUACCAGCUGGCUGCAACUGUUUAUUAAAAACACAGCACUGUGCAAACACGAAAGUGGACGUAUACGGUGUGACGCCUGCCCGGUGCCGGAAGGUUAAUUGAUGGGGUUAGCGGUAACGCGAAGCUCUUGAUCGAAGCCCCGGUAAACGGCGGCCGUAACUAUAACGGUCCUAAGGUAGCGAAAUUCCUUGUCGGGUAAGUUCCGACCUGCACGAAUGGCGUAAUGAUGGCCAGGCUGUCUCCACCCGAGACUCAGUGAAAUUGAACUCGCUGUGAAGAUGCAGUGUACCCGCGGCAAGACGGAAAGACCCCGUGAACCUUUACUAUAGCUUGACACUGAACAUUGAGCCUUGAUGUGUAGGAUAGGUGGGAGGCUUUGAAGUGUGGACGCCAGUCUGCAUGGAGCCGGCCUUGAAAUACCACCCUUUAAUGUUUGAUGUUCUAACGUUGGCCCCUGAUCGGGGUUGCGGACAGUGUCUGGUGGGUAGUUUGACUGGGGCGGUCUCCUCCUAAAGAGUAACGGAGGAGCACGAAGGUUGGCUAAUCCUGGUCGGACAUCAGGAGGUUAGUGCAAUGGCAUAAGCCAGCUUGACUGCGAGCGUGACGGCGCGAGCAGGUGCGAAAGCAGGUCAUAGUGAUCCGGUGGUUCUGAAUGGAAGGGCCAUCGCUCAACGGAUAAAAGGUACUCCGGGGAUAACAGGCUGAUACCGCCCAAGAGUUCAUAUCGACGGCGGUGUUUGGCACCUCGAUGUCGGCUCAUCACAUCCUGGGGCUGAAGUAGGUCCCAAGGGUAUGGCUGUUCGCCAUUUAAAGUGGUACGCGAGCUGGGUUUAGAACGUCGUGAGACAGUUCGGUCCCUAUCUGCCGUGGGCGCUGGAGAACUGAGGGGGGCUGCUCCUAGUACGAGAGGACCGGAGUGGACGCAUCACUGGUGUUCGGGUUGUCAUGCCAAUGGCACUGCCCGGUAGCUAAAUGCGGAAGAGAUAAGUGCUGAAAGCAUCUAAGCACGAAACUUGCCCCGAGAUGAGUUCUCCCUGACUCCUUGAGAGUCCUGAAGGAACGUUGAAGACGACGACGUUGAUAGGCCAGGUGUGUAAGCGCAGCGAUGCGUUGAGCUAACCGGUACUAAUGAACCGUGAGGCUUAACCUU